AAGCGUAGGGGGCAAGCGUUAUCCGGAAUUACUGGGUGUAAAGGGUACGCAGGCGGACCGGAAAGUUGGAUGUAAAAACCCAAAGCUCAACUUUGGGCUCGCAUUCAAAACUCCCGGUCUAGAGAGCAGGAGAGGGAAGUGGAAUUCCUGGUGUAGCGGUAAAAUGCUUAGAUAUCAGGAAGAACACCGGUGGCGAAGGCGGCUUCCUGGCCUGUCUCUGACGCUCAGGUACGAAAGCUAGGGGAGCAAACAGGAUUAGAAACCCGGGUAGUCC
rnacentral:rRNA from 1 species